AUUGAACGCUGGCGGCAGGCCUAACACAUGCAAGUCGAGCGGAUGAGAGGAGCUUGCUCCUCGAUUCAGCGGCGGACGGGUGAGUAAUGCCUAGGAAUCUGCCUAGUAGUGGGGGACAACGUUUCGAAAGGAACGCUAAUACCGCAUACGUCCUACGGGAGAAAGUGGGGGAUCUUCGGACCUCACGCUAUUAGAUGAGCCUAGGUCGGAUUAGCUAGUUGGUAGGGUAACGGCCUACCAAGGCGACGAUCCGUAACUGGUCUGAGAGGAUGAUCAGUCACACGGGAACUGAGACACGGUCCAGACUCCUACGGGAGGCAGCAGUGGGGAAUAUUGGACAAUGGGCGAAAGCCUGAUCCAGCCAUGCCGCGUGUGUGAAGAAGGCCCUCGGGUCGUAAAGCACCUUAAGUUGGGAGGAAGGGCUUACAGCGAAUACCUGUGAGUUUUGACGUUACCGACAGAAUAAGCACCGGCUAACUUCGUGCCAGCAGCCGCCGUAA
rnacentral:rRNA from 1 species